CUUCCUCCUCUAGAUAUCCUCUUUCUUUGGAGCAUCCAAGGUGUUUGAAGAAGGAAGAAAUCAGCCUCCGAGUUCCUUGCAACCUAGCACUUCCAAGGGCCCUGAUCUUCGUUGGUCUUCACAUAGACUUUCUAUAGAGGCUGGAUGACUUUGUGUGGCUACAAUCAAUCUGAAAGAGAGCCUCUCCAAGCAUUGAACUAGAAGAGAUCAAGAGACUUCAGUUUGGUAAUGAUUUCUAAACUUUCUUGAUCUUGUAUGUUGGAUU
rnacentral:lncRNA from 1 species